rnacentral:rRNA from 1 species
GACGAACGCUGGCGGCGUGCCUAAUACAUGCAAGUAGAACGCUGAAGGAGGAGCUUGCUUCUCUGGAUGAGUUGCGAACGGGUGAGUAACACGUAGGUAACCUGCCUGGUAGCGGGGGAUAACUAUUGGAAACGAUAGCUAAUACCGCAUAAUAGUAGAUGUUGCAUGACAUUUGCUUAAAAGGUGCAAUUGCAUCACUACCAGAUGGACCUGCGUUGUAUUAGCUAGUUGGUGGGGUAACGGCUCACCAAGGCGACGAUACAUAGCCGACCUGAGAGGGUGAUCGGCCAAACUGGGACUGAGACACGGCCCAGACUCCUACGGGAGGCAGCAGUAGGGAAUCUUCGGCAAUGGACGGAAGUCUGACCGAGCAACGCCGCGUGAGUGAAGAAGGUUUUCGGAUCGUAAAGCUCUGUUGUAAGAGAAGAACGAGUGUGAGAGUGGAAAGUUCACACUGUGACGGUAUCUUACCAGAAAGGGACGGCUAACUACGUG